GAUGAACGCUGGCGGCGUGCCUAAUACAUGCAAGUCGAGCGAAUGGAUUAAGAGCUUGCUCUUAUGAAGUUAGCGGCGGACGGGUGAGUAACACGUGGGUAACCUGCCCAUAAGACUGGGAUAACUCCGGGAAAACGGGGCUAAUACCGGACAACAUUUUGCACCGCAUGGUUCGAAAUUGACAGGCGGCCUCGGCUGGCACUUAUGGAUGGACCCGCGUCGCAUUAGCUAGUUGGUGAGGUAACGGCUCACCAAGGCAACGAUGCGUAGCCGACCUGGGAGGGUGAUCGGCCACACUGGGACUGAGACACGGCCCAGACUCCUACGGGAGGCAGCAGUAGGGAAUCUUCCGCAAUGGACGAAAGUCUGACGGAGCAACGCCGCGUGAGUGAUGAAGGCUUUCGGGUCGUAAAACUCUGUUGUUAGGGAAGAACAAGUGCUAGUUGAAUAAGCUGGCACCUUGACGGUACCUAACCAGAAAGCCACGGCUAACUACGUGUCAGCAGCCGCCGUAA
rnacentral:rRNA from 1 species